rnacentral:misc_RNA from 1 species
GAUGAAGAACGUAGCGAAAUGCGAUAAGUAAUGUGAAUUGCAGAAUUCAGUGAAUCAUCGAAUCUUUGAACGCACAUUGCGCCCGCCAGUAUUCUGGCGGGCAUGCCUGUCCGAGCGUCAUUUCAACCCUCGAACCCCUCCGGGGGGUCGGCGUUGGGGACCUCGGGAGCCCCUAAGACGGGAUCCCGGCCCCGAAAUACAGUGGCGGUCUCGCCGCAGCCUCUCCUGCGCAGUAGUUUGCACAACUCGCACCGGGAGCGCGGCGCGUCCACGUCCGUAAAACACCCAACUUCUGAAAUGUUGACCUCGGAUCAGGUAGGAAUACCCGCUAAACUUAAGCAUAUCAAUAAGCGGAGGA